rnacentral:rRNA from 1 species
CACGCCGUAAACGAUGGGUACUAGGUGCUUGGGGGAGCGACCCCCCGAGUGCCGGCGCUAACGCAUUAAGUACCCCGCCUGGGGAGUACGACCGCAAGGUUGAAACUCAAAGGAAUUGACGGGGGCCCGCACAAGCGGUGGAGCAUGUGGUUUAAUUCGACGCAACGCGAAGAACCUUACCCAGGCUUGACAUGUAUGAGAAAGCCUCUGGAAACAGGGGCCCCUCUUCGGAGCUCAUGCACAGGUGC